rnacentral:misc_RNA from 1 species
GGAAGUAAAGGUCGUAACAAGGUUUCCGUAGGUGAACCUGCGGAAGGAUCAUUAUUGUAUAACCGAGGUGCGAGGGCUGUCGCUGACCCGAAAGGUCGUGCACGCCCGAGUGCCCUCACACACAUCCAUCUCACCCCUAUGUGCACCACCGCGUGGGUCCCCCUUUGGCUUGUUCGGAGGGGGGCUUACGUUUUCACACAAACUUUGUAUGCAGUGUAGAAUGUAUUUUUUGUUUUUGCGAUCACGCAAUCAAUACAACUUUCAACAACGGACCACUUGGCUCUC